GGCCGGAUGUAUAAAAAUAUAUAUCCUCACAGUGC
rnacentral:rRNA from 1 species